UACGGAGGAGGCAAGCGUUAUCCGGAAUUAUUGGGCGUAAAGCGUCCGUAGAUGGUUUUGUCAGUCUGCUGUCAAAGCACAGGGCUUAACCCUGUAAAGGCAGUGGAAACUACAAGACUAGAGUGCAGUAGGGGCAGAGGGAAUUCCCAGUGUAGCGGUGAAAUGCGUAGAGAUUGGAAGGAACACCGGAGGCGAAAGCGGUGUACUGGGGCUGGUCUGACGCUGAGGCACGAAAGCCAGGGGAGCGAACGGG
rnacentral:rRNA from 1 species